rnacentral:rRNA from 1 species
UGCUUACCAUGCAGUCGAACGGUAACAGGCCUUCGGGCGCUGACGAGUGGCGGACGGGUGAGUAACGCGCAGGAAUCUGCCUUAUAGUGGGGGACAACGUGGGGAAACCCACGCUAAUACCGCAUACGCCCUAUGGGGGAAAGCGGGGGCUCGUAAGACCUCGCGCUAUGAGAUGAGCCUGCGUUAGAUUAGCUAGUUGGUAGGGUAAAGGCCUACCAAGGCGACGAUCUAUAGCUGGUCUGAGAGGACGAUCAGCCACACUGGGACUGAGACACGGCCCAGACUCCUACGGGAGGCAGCAGUGGGGAAUAUUGGACAAUGGGCGCAAGCCUGAUCCAGCAAUACCGCGUGUGUGAAGAAGGCCCUAGGGUUGUAAAGCACUUUCAAUGGGGAGGAAAACCUGCCGGUCAAUACCCGGUAGCUUGACAUUACCUAUAGAAGAAGCACCGGCUAACUCCGUGCCAGCAGCCGCGGUAAUACGGAGGGUGCGAGCGUUAAUCGGAAUUACUGGGCGUAAAGGACGCGUAGGCGGUCCAUUAAGUGUGAAGUGAAAUCUCCAGAGCUCAACUCGGAAACUGCUUCACAUACUGGUGGACUAGAGGGAUGCAGAGGUAGCUAGAAUUCCUGGUGUAGCGGUGAAAUGCGUUGAUAUCAGGAGGAAUACCCAUGGCGAAGGCAGGCUACUGGGCAUCAUCUGACGCUGAGGCGUGAAAGCGUGGGUAGCAAACAGGAUUAGAUACCCUGGUAGUCCACGCCCUAAACGAUGGAUACUAGACGUAAGA